AUCGGCUCUCCGGAUUCACCCCACCCAGGGGGAAGCCCUGCAUAUUCCUGAACUUACGGAAUACUGGCUGUAGUUUUGCGGGGGGUUCUUUGGUUGGCUUUGGUCUGGACUGUGCUUGCCUCUCUUUCGUAAGAACCUGCUAAGGGUCCUCUAAGGGUCACAUGCAAGUUCCAGGAAAGGCGUUUCCCUGUAAAGUUCGCCGAGCAUAACGUUUGAGACAGCGCCUUCUUCCUGGGAGAAGAAAGGGUGCACGAUCUUUUCACCUGAGGUUUUGGAUGGCCAGGGGUGCAGCACGGAGUUUCCACGCUUCCUUGGGAGCUGCACCCCCGCUGUCAGGCCGAUGGAAGCCGGGAGCUUUACUCUGGGUGCUUAGGGAAGAAGGUGGCCUCGUUCAUUUCCGCCACGCUCGACGCUUCCAACGUGGACGGAACUGCCACUUCCCUCAUACCUGGCUCUUAGCCUUCAGUCUGAGGUGUCUUCCCUCAUGGAGUGCUAGUCUCAUGAAAGCCAGCUGACAAGAAGCAGUGAAGAAGCCCACCCUGCUCCAAGAUAUUCUAUGGUCACCCUCCCCUGCCCACCGUCUAUGCCAUUGAAAAGUAGCAACUCCUGGGCCAGAAAGGAAGAUGAUUUGGACCAUCCCUGAUGCGGAGAUGACACACCUCAGCUGAUCACGUGUGAGCAUGGCUGGCCCCAGAAGCGCACUGAGGUCCAGGGGAAGUGAGUGACUCUUUUUUUCUCUUACAAACAUGGACCAGCAGUUUCAAAUGUCCUUCCCCUAAUAUUCUAGUUCUCAUGAUGUUGAAAAUCUCACCUUCACCUAACCUGCUGCAGGGUCCCAAGGGCCAGCGGCCAAUCAAGACAAGCGUGGAAGGUCCCGGAGGUUCAUUUCCUCUUAUUUUGGGAGCUUAUUGGAGAAAUGGUUCAAAAAGACUGAGUUAGCACAAUAGAAAAAUAUACUGAUUCCAGCUCCUGGGCUUUAAAAAAUUUUUUUUAUUGGAGUAUAGUUGCUUUACAAUGUUGUAUUAGUUUCUACUGUAAGCAAAGUGGAUCAGCUCUAUACAUAUAUACAUAUAUUUUUUCUCUUUUUUGCAUUCCUUCCUAUUUUACGUCACCACAUAGAAUCGAGUAGAGUUCCAUGAGCUAUACAGUUCAUUCUCAUUCAGUUCAGUUGUUCAGUCGUGUCCGACUCCUUGCGACUCCAUGAAUUGCAGCAUGCCAGGCCUCCCUGUCCAUCACCAACUCCCGGAGUUCACUCAAACUCAAC